CGUCGACAUCGGACGCUUCGGCACACUCGUGCCUUAUGUGCCACCGAAGCCCCGAAGUGGUCUGGCAUAUACCUUCACAUGUAAGUAAACGAAUGUAUCUCAUUGUUGUGAAUAUCACGCGAGUAGGCAGCUCUUGUGGUACAUCACAAUCGUUUGAGAAGCGUCACAGCAGAGCAUUUUUCUGCAUGCGGAGCGGUGUUUUUAUUUGCAGGUUUCCCUUCAGUAGGAAAUUGCUGGACAGGCGGAGCAGCGCACCGGAAUUGUACUGGCGAAGCCAUAAGCAACUCAAAGAACCUGUUUAAUUGUUGCACUUUGAACAAUCAUGCUUCUACAAAGGCCACAGCAGAAAAACAGCCUGAUGCCGAGUAUUUCUGUGCCACGAAGUAAUCAAGAGACAAUGCCUACGCCUAGCCACAGCAGCUCCCUCAUACAGACUCCGCAAGCCAAGAGGCCGUGGAGGCAAAUGCAGGCAGCCAGCACACCUUGAACAGCUACCUUGACUGCGGGUGUGUCACCCUAGUCGCCAAGGGAACAUUUGAGGGAAAGUGACAGGCAAUGUGAACAGCCACUUCUCCAUGUAAACAAUACUCUUUCUCUCGGAUGACUCCUACGCCUCGCCACGCCAGCACACUUGUGCACAAAGAUGCCGCAGAGGCACGUGCAGGUCAGAGGCAAGAAGCAGUGGCACUGGUGUCGACAUUUACCCAAUUUCUUUUUCUUACACUGAGGCAGCCAGCACACCUCGAACAGCCACCUUGACUGCGGGUGUGUCAGUAGAUUCCUGUUGUACAUAUGCUCAUAAUAAACUUCAGUAAACUAGAACUUCAUAAUAAACUUGAAGGCAAAUGGGACAUUGAUGCAUUGUAUUUUUGAACAUUUAUUGUACACAUACAAUAUAUGUUAUACUUUGCAGUGCUACAGAGCGUAUUUUGAAGCUUCCCCCUAUAUUUUGCACCUUUAAUUACGUAUGUGUUGUGCGGCCCUCAAUGCAGUUCAUGUUGUAGCAGCUGCUUUGUCCGUGUAUCGCACAUUGGCUAAAGCUCAUGAUAUCCACAUACUCCUCUCACAUAUGCAAA